UCCUGGCUCAGAUUGAACGCUGGCGGCAUGCUUUACACAUGCAAGUCGAACGGUAACAGGUCUUCGGAUGCUGACGAGUGGCGAACGGGUGAGUAAUACAUCGGAACGUGCCUAGUAGUGGGGGAUAACUACUCGAAAGAGUGGCUAAUACCGCAUGAGAUCUACGGAUGAAAGCAGGGGACCUUCGGGCCUUGUGCUACUAGAGCGGCUGAUGGCAGAUUAGGUAGUUGGUGGGGUAAAGGCUUACCAAGCCUGCGAUCUGUAGCUGGUCUGAGAGGACGACCAGCCACACUGGGACUGAGACACGGCCCAGACUCCUACGGGAGGCAGCAGUGGGGAAUUUUGGACAAUGGGCGAAAGCCUGAUCCAGCAAUGCCGCGUGCAGGAUGAAGGCCCUCGGGUUGUAAACUGCUUUUGUACGGAACGAAAAGCUCUUCUCUAAUACAGAGGAGUCAUGACGGUACCGUAAGAAUAAGCACCGGCUAACUACGUGCCAGCAGCCGCGGUAAUACGUAGGGUGCAAGCGUUAAUCGGAAUUACUGGGCGUAAAGCGUGCGCAGGCGGUUUUGUAAGACAGUGGUGAAAUCCCCG
rnacentral:rRNA from 1 species